rnacentral:rRNA from 1 species
GGAAUAUUGCACAAUGGAGGAAACUCUGAUGCAGCCAUGCCGCGUGUGUGAAGAAGGCUUUCGGGUUGUAAAGCACUUUCAGCGAGGAGGAAAGGGUGCAGGUUAAUACCCUGUAUCUGUGACGUUACUCGCAGAAGAAGCACCGGCUACCUCCGUGCCAGCAGCCGCGGUAAUACGGAGGGCGCGAGCGUUAAUCAGAAUUACUGGGCGUAAAGCGCGCGUAGGCGGUUAAUUAAGUCAGAUGUGAAAGCCCAGGGCUCAACCUUGGAACUGCAUUUGAAACUGGUUAACUAGAGUUUUGUAGAGGGUGGUAGAAUUUCAGGUAUAGCGGUGAAAUGCGUAGAGAUCUGAAGGAAUACCAGUGGCGAAGGCGGCCACCUGGACAAAGACUGACGCUGAGGCGCGGAGGCGUGGGGAGCAAAC